ACCAAAUAAUAUACAAUAGCCACACUUAUAUAUCUAAACUUUUAAUCAUCUCGUAAGGGUUCCCACCUCUUACCAUACCUGUUCUUGGUUUCAAUUUGAGAAGAUCGACUUUGUGAAUCCCUUUUAUCUAUGAGAUUAGCGUUAGUUCUUAAACGUGCAUGUGUAAUUUUCUGUUCCCUCCGUACCGGAGAUGAUCUAGGUUAAUUUCUGAAUUGUUCAAUUAGGAGAGUUUUAGAUCUGCAGAUUUGAGUUCAAGUGAAGCAGAUUUGAGGCUUGGUUCUAAUUGCAGGCCACGGGGAUUGGAAUUUCCUAUGAUCCCUCCUCAUAUUACGACCGGAAAAGCCUGGUGCAAGACGUUGCUGAUUGGUAUAGAACCGGAGCUGCAACGAACAACUGGAAUGAGUGACCAAAGCUAUUAUUACUGGUGUCGAAAUGACUGGAAUGAGUGACAGAGUUUGUGUUGACCUUUGCAGCCUCAUGAAACCUGGUUGGAUCUUUUGCUAGAGGAUUAUUUCUUGUUCACUCACAGUCAAACUACAUUGCUACCAGGCCUUUCGCAGUUAACACUGUGAGUUUUUGUUGAGAUCUAUUAAUUUACAUCAUUUUUUAUCAAUAGUGACUAAUAUCUUACCAACAUUUACACAGUCCCGUCCAUGCCUAUAUGGCGAUUUCAGGAGGUAAAACUUGCUACCUAUCAGCAGGGGCGGCUGCACCCACAUAAUGUGGUCGGGGUCCUAGGACCCCAAUAAUUUCAUUAAAUAUGUGUUUUAUAAAGUGGCCCAAUACUUUGGCGAGUCGAGCUCGAGCCGAGCUUUGGCUCGUUCAAGCGAUAAUGAAGCAUGCUCGAGCCGAGCUUUUAGCUCGUUUGAGGUUGUUCUCAAAAUAGCCCGAGCCGAGUCGAGCCGAGCCGAGCUCGAGCUCAAAUAAGUGUGCUCGAACUGAACCGAGCUCGAGCUCGAGCUUCAUAAAAACAUGACGAGCCGAGCUCGAGCACAGUUGAGCUCGGGUUCGGCUCGGCUCGUUUACAUCUCUAGGCCGGUGGCAUUACUUGUGCAUGACAUUAGACCUGGCAAACGGGUCGGGUUGGGUCAUGGGUCAAAACGGGUUCGGGUCAAAACGGGUCAUGGUCAAAACGGGUCAGUUAAAAAAUGGGUUGUUUUGGUUCGGGUCGGAACGGGUUCGGGUCAGAGCGGGUUCGGGUCAAAACGGGUCCGGGUCAGAACAGGUUUCGGGUCGGUUCAGGUCGGAUAGAAAAUGCUUUUCAGCACUUUGGAUCAAAUUGGUCACAGAUUUUAAAAUGCUGUUCAGUGUUCUAGGUUGUUGACUUUACAAAAAAUCAAAUAUAAUAUUAUCAAUGGUAUCAAUUAUGAAAUGAACAGAACCUUCAGUCGCCGAAAUUUGUCGUUUUGCGCAGAAUCGAGUCAUUUACACUGCAUUUACACUUGCAGAAUCGACACUUUUCCGCAGAAUCUGUUCGACGGAUCCGUUUCGCUGAUUUUUUGUUCAAGGUUUGUUUGAUCGAAAACAGCGAUAAGGGAUCGACGUGUACCGUUUCGACGCGUACCGUUUUGACCCGUACUGUUACGGAUCAGUUCUGUUUGAAUUGUUUUGAGUCUGAACAGAACCUUCAGUCGCCGAAAUUUGUCUAGUAGUGGUAUGCGAGGUAGCUCAGGCAGCUACUUAUGUUGUCGGCGAUGACAAUGGCUGGACGUUUAACUAUCUAUGACAAGUUUUCGAUAUAGCAGCUGCUAUCACCAACACAAAAACACCUCGGUUUAACAUUCCUAUGUUAGUGAUGGAGAUUUAUGGCUGGUUAUCUGUGCUAUUCGCCAGAAUACCUGGAAAACUUACACUUAUUAGCCCUCCGGUACUUCCAUUUUCAUGUUUAUUUUACGAUAUUCCCCGCUUGCGGUGUGCAUAUAUAAUAUAUAUUAGUUAUUGUUUUA